rnacentral:rRNA from 1 species
UACGGGGGGGGCAAGCGUUGUUCGGAAUUACUGGGCGUAAAGGGUUUGUAGGUGGCCCGCUAAGUCACACGUGAAAUCCCUCAGCUUAACUGGGGAACUGCGUGUGAGACUGGCAGGCUCGAGGGCAGGAGAGGAACGCGGAAUUCCAGGUGUAGCGGUGAAAUGCGUAGAUAUCUGGAGGAACACCGGUGGCGAAGGCGGCAUCCUGGACCGGCAUUGACGCUGAGGAGCGAAAGCCAGGGGAGCAAAGCGGG